CUCGGCAGGUUUCCCAUUCGAAUCAUUCGUCUGCCAAGUGUAAAGCAGUCAACAACUAUCGGACUUGAUUUCGUCAAAAUUUUCAGUAAAAAAAUAUGUAAAAACUAAAUCCUCUUAUUCAGAUCCCAAAGUACAAAGACGAUGGCGAUGUGGUUCCUUUCUCCAUAAGUAUAUGGAGGAUGGCCGAGGUCAUUGGUCUAUGGAGGAUUAGUAUUUUAAAAACCAAAUACCAUCUCUGUUAAAUUGCGUUAAUCUAUUCAAUUUAUUCUGCUCAACUUCUUGAAUGUCGACGGUACCGGGCCCCAGGAUUGGUUCUGCAGCUUUGCGUCGAUUAUUUUCGUUAUGCGUUAUGAAAGUAGAAUUAAGUAUACAUAAUUUCAAAAAAACUGGCAUUAUUGUUUUUUUUUUCUCAAAGAAUUUGUUACGCAUAAUCAAAGAUAAUGGAAAUCGACAGAAAUUGAUCGUUUUUGAGAUUGGCAUUAGUGCUUUCUUCACAGAAAUAAAUCGACAUUGUUCAAAAUA